GACGAACGCUGGCGGCGUGCUUAACACAUGCAAGCCGAGCGGUAAGGCCCUUUCGGGGGUACACGAGCGGCGAACGGGUGAGUAACACGUGGGUGACCUGCCCUCAGCUCUGGGAUAAGCCUGGGAUACCGGGUCUAAUACUGGAUAUGACUCCAUGACGCAUGUUGUGGGGUGGAAAGCCUUGCGCGGCUGAGGAUGGGCCCGCGGCCUAUCAGCUUGUUGGUGGGGUGAUGGCCUACCAAGGCGACGACGGGUAGCCGGCCUGAGAGGGCGACCGGCCACACUGGGACUGAGACACGGCCCAGACUCCUACGGGAGGCAGCAGUGGGGAAUCUUGCGCAAUGGGCGAAAGCCUGACGCAGCGACGCCGCGUGAGGGAUGACGGCCU
rnacentral:rRNA from 1 species